rnacentral:rRNA from 1 species
AUUGAACGCUGGCGGCAGGCCUAACACAUGCAAGUCGAGCGGAGCGUCGGAGGGGUGAGUAAUGUCUAGGAAUCUGCCCGGUAGUGGGGGAUAAAGUCCGGAAACGGGGGCUAAUACCGCAUAUUAUCAGAUGAGCCGAGGUCGGAUUAGCUAGUGGGGGGGGGAAAGUCCUACCAAGGCGACGAUCCGUAACUGGGCUGAGAGGAUGAUCAGCCACACUGGAACUGAGACACGGUCCAGACUCCUACGGGAGGCAGCAGUGGGGAAGAUGGGACAAUGGGCGAAAGCCUGAUCCAGCCAUGCCGCGUGUGUGAAGAAGGUCUUCGGAUUGUAAAGCACUUUAAGUUGGGAGGCGUUACCAACAGAAUAAGCACCGGCUAACUUCGUGCCAGCCGCCGCGGUAAUAC